rnacentral:rRNA from 1 species
UACGUAGGGUGCGAGCGUUGCCCGGAUUUAUUGGGCGUAAAGCGUGCGCAGGCGGUUUUGUAAGUCAGAUGUGAAAUCCCCGGGCUUAACCUGGGAACUGCGUUUGAAACUACAAGGCUAGAGUGUGGCAGAGGGGGGGUGGAAUUCCACGUGUAGCAGUGAAAUGCGUAGAGAUGUGGAGGAACACCGAUGGCGAAGGCAGCCCCCUGGGUUAACACUGACGCUCAGGCACGAAAGCGUGGGGAGCAAACAGG